GCCAGGUGCAGUGGUGCAUGCCUGUAGCCCCAGCUACUUGGGAGGCUGAUGUGGGAGAAUCGCCUGAGCCCAGGAGUUCUGGGCUGUAGUGUGCUAUGCUGAUCAGGUGUCCGCACUAAUUUCGGCAUCAAUAUGGUGACCUCCCAGGAGCAGGGGACCACCAGGUUGCCUAAGGAGGGGAGAACCGUCCUAGGCUGGAAACAGAGCAGGUCGAAACUCCUGUGCCGAUCAGUAGUGGGAUAAUGCCUGUUAAGAUCCACUGCACCCCAGCCGGGGGCAACAUAGUGAGACCCCAUCUCU
rnacentral:SRP_RNA from 1 species